rnacentral:rRNA from 1 species
UGGGGGAUAUUGCGCAAUGGGGGCAACCCUGACGCAGCAACGCCGCGUGAAGGAUGAAGGUUUUCGGAUUGUAAACUUCUUUUAUUAAGGACGAAACUUGACGGUACUUAAUGAAUAAGCUCCGGCUAACUACGUGCCAGCAGCCGCGGUAAUACGUAGGGAGCAAGCGUUGUCCGGAUUUACUGGGUGUAAAGGGUGCGUAGGCGGCUUUGCAAGUCAGAUGUGAAAUCUAUGGGCUCAACCCAUAAACUGCAUUUGAAACUGUAGAGCUUGAGUGAAGUAGAGGCAGGCGGAAUUCCCCGUGUAGCGGUGAAAUGCGUAGAGAUGGGGAGGAACACCAGUGGCGAAGGCGGCCUGCUGGGCUUUAACUGACGCUGAGGCACGAAAGCGUGGGUAGCAAACAGGAUUAGAUACCCUGGUAGUCCACGCUGUAAACGAUGAUUACUAGGUGUGGGGGGUCUGACCCCUUCCGUGCCGGAGUUAACACAAUAAGUAAUCCACCUGGGGAGUACGGCCGCAAGGUUGAAACUCAAAGGAAUUGACGGGGGCCCGCACAAGCAGUGGAGUAUGUGGUUUAAUUCGAAGCAACGCGAAGAACCUUACCAGGUCUUGACAUCCAACUAACGAAGUAGAGAUACAUUAGGUGCCCUUCGGGGAAAGUUGAGACAGGUGAUGCAUGGUUGUCGUCAGCUCGUGUCGUGAGAUGUUGGGUUAAGUCCCGCAACGAGCGCAACCCUUGCUAUUAGUUGCUACGCAAGAGCACUCUAAUAGGACUGCCGUUGACAAAACGGAGGAAGGUGGGGACGACGUCAAAUCAUCAUGCCCCUUAUGACCUGGGCUACACACGUACUACAAUGGAUGUUAACAGAGGGAAGCAAGACAGCGAUGUGGAGCAAACCCCCAAAAACAUUCUCAGUUCAGAUUGCAGGCUGCAACCCGCCUGCAUGAAGAUGGAAUUGCUAGUAAUCGCGGAUCAGCAUGCCGCGGUGAAUACGUUCCC